UGCAAGUUUGUACCAGGACAGCUUACAUUUUGGGUGCUUCUCUUGGAGCCAUCGGUUCCGGAUGUACGGCGAGAGACGUACCAUGGACGAUUGCCCCGGCGAGAUGUACGGCUGCGAUGCACCCAACGGGGACGAAAGCACAAGAAAGAACCAAUAUGACGAUAAUUACAGGUGAGUACCUAUGGAUGCUCUAAAAUCAGACUACCAGGGCAACGCCACAAAGAUCGCUAGCGUAUAGGUCGCUACGAUGAGGAGCACCGGCAGGAGGCGAAGGAGCACGAGCUCCGUAGCUCCUUCCCCUUCCGGCUCACAAGACCCGCGGCCCUCCCAACUCCCUCCACUGGAAGUUCUCCCAGGUCCGCGGCCGGAGGCCAGUACAACGGCAAGCUCCAAGAUGACGGUAUAUAUGUAUCAAUAUAUAUGUCGAACGUCAGGGCCGCUUGUUUGUUGAACUAAUCGGUGCUUGCACGCCGUGCUGCAGCGGACGAAGUCUCGGCUACCGAAUUCGACGGCUGCGGCGAGUACCUGGCCACCGGUGACCACGCCGGCCGUGCCAUCCUCUUCCGAAGGACCGACGAAGACGACGUAAGAGUCUCGCAUCUUAGUUUGACGUUCUGCACAGCUUGGAGAUCGGCGAGAAGAUCAAGAGGGUGAGGUGGCGCGCGCCGCCGAACAGUUCCCUGUUCAUGCUCACCACGAAUGACCGAACGGUCAAGCUCUGGAAGCUUCAGGGCAGGUCUCCGAUCACAAGGCGAAGAAAGGGUCCGAUCAGUCACGACGGGGUACACCGACGUUGUCACUGCAAGAACCAUACCCUGAGUGGGCAACCAAGAAAGCGAGGGGUCUGCCUGCAGAUUCUGCUGAACAUUCCGAAAAGGUUCAGCAUUGCAGUCGGGCAUCGGCACGGGAGCGGCCGCGCGAGAUGUGAGCUCUCGGCCCGCCGAUGGGCGCGGGUGGGAGCGGAGCCGUGAGGAUUUGCACGCGCGCGCUAGUCUGAACGGCCUCACCACCGAGCACGGUUUGCUGGCGCGUUCUUGCUUUUUUCUGAAACUGUUUCUCACUAAACAGAUUCCGAGAUCGCGAGAACCGCCUCCAGCCGAACACAUUUUCCACCGAGAUAAUCUCUUGCAGCACCGACUUGAGAUUUACUAGCGAUGGAAGAUCUCUUCUAACUCGCGACUACAUGAAUCUGAAGGUGCUGUGAGUACUAAGUACCAACUGUACAGUUACUCAUUGCUCCCCCAUUGAAACCUCACCGUUUGCAGCUCUGGGACUUGCAUGUGGAGAGCUCACCCAUCGCAACAUACAAGGUGGCACGGGUUCCUUCGUCCAAAGGUACAUACAUAAUUGAUCCAUCAUAGGAAUACUUCGCUAUCAAACAUCGCCUCCCCAAUUAGA